AUCACCGGGGUGUCCGUUAGGGGCUGAGAAUAAACCCGUAGAACCUGAUCUGGGUCAUGCCAGCGAAGGGAGGAACUUAA
rnacentral:ncRNA from 1 species